rnacentral:rRNA from 1 species
UGGGGAAUAUUGCACAAUGGGCGCAAGCCUGAUGCAGCCAUGCCGCGUGUGUGAAGAAGGCCUUCGGGUUGUAAAGCACUUUCAGCGAGGAGGAAGGUGGUGAGCUUAAUACGCUCAUCAAUUGACGUUACUCGCAGAAGAAGCACCGGCUAACUCCGUGCCAGCAGCCGCGGUAAUACGGAGGGUGCAAGCGUUAAUCGGAAUUACUGGGCGUAAAGCGCACGCAGGCGGUUUGUUAAGUCAGAUGUGAAAUCCCCGGGCUCAACCUGGGAACUGCAUUUGAAACUGGCAAGCUAGAGUCUCGUAGAGGGGGGUAGAAUUCCAGGUGUAGCGGUGAAAUGCGUAGAGAUCUGGAGGAAUACCGGUGGCGAAGGCGGCCCCCUGGACGAAGACUGACGCUCAGGUGCGAAAGCGUGGGGCAGCAAACAGGAUUAGAUACCCUGGUAGUCCAGCGCUGUAAAACGAUGUCGAUUUUGGAGGUUGUGCCCUUGAGGCGUGGCUUCCGGAGCUAACGCGUUAAAUCGACCGCCUGGGGAGUACGGCCGCAAGGUUAAAACUCAAAUGAAUUGACGGGGUCAUAGCUG